GGCCCAGUCGUCAAGCGGUUAAGACACCGCCCUUUCACGGCGGGUUCAUGGGUUCGAAUCCCGUCUGGGUCACCA
rnacentral:tRNA from 1 species